UACGUAGGGCGCAAGCGUUAUCCGGAAUUAUUGGGCGUAAAGAGCUCGUAGGCGGCCGGUUGCGUCUGCUGUGAAAUCCCGGGGCUUAACCCCGGGCGUGCAGUGGAUACGGGCCGGCUGGAGGCAGGCAGGGGAGAAUGGAAUUCCCGGUGUAGCGGUGAAAUGCGCAGAUAUCAGGAAGAACACCCGUGGCGAAGGCGGCUCUCUGGAACGCAACUGACGCUGAGACGCGAAAGCGUGGGGAGCAAACAGG
rnacentral:rRNA from 1 species